UUUUUUUGUCGUUUUAGGGCCACACCGGUGGCAUAUGGAGGUUCCCAGGCUACAGCUGCCACCCUACACAAGGCUCACGGCAACGCCAGAUCCUUAACCCACUGAGUAAGACCAGGGCUCGAACCUGCAACCUCGUGGUUCCUAGUCGGCUUCGUUUCCGCUGCGUCCCAUUGACAACUCCUGAUGAAUGGACUUCUUAAUUUGAAUGUAGUUGCAUUUGCCAAUCUUUUCAUCUAGAUUGGGGAAGGUUUUGAAGAGAUUUUUCUGUUUGCUUCUGUUACUCUGAUCCACUUCUUUAUUUAGGUUUUGCCUAGCAAAUGUUUAAGUCUUUCUUCCUUAGAGUUGAUCUUUGUGCCUGGGCACAGACCGGAAUCUGAUUCCAUUUUUUUCCCUGUAGCAACAGCUGCACAGUGAGACCUUCUAUUUGCUAUGAAAGUUCCUCUGUUUUUUUUUUUUUUUUCCUUCUUCAGGAAUUCUUUGUCCAUUCUUGGUUCUUCACUCCUACAUAAAAUUUUAGAUUCAGUUUGCUAAGUUCCUUGAAAAACAAUGGAAUUUUUUUUUUCUGGCCUCACCAUGGAAUGCGGAAGUUCCCCAGCCAGGGUUUGAACUUGAGCCGCAGCAGUGACAACACCGGAUCCUUAACCCACCGAGCCACCAGGGAGCUCCCAAGACUGCUGGGAUUUUGAUUGGAACUGCAUUUAGCUCAUUCAGAGAGAACUGACAUCUUUAUAAUAGUACAUUUACAGUAUCGAUAUUUUCUAGCUGUGAACUUUAUUAUUUCUCUAUUUUGGUCUUUUUAAACAGGCUGCAAGUCUCCUUUUUGUGGCCAUUGCCGAAGUGCAGACGCAUCUCCCUUAAAGCCAGGAACAGAGAGUUCCUGUUGGGGCUCGGUACUAACAAGCCCGACUAGUAUCCAUGAGGAUGCGAGUUCAAUCCCUGGCCUCGCUCAGUGGGUUAAGGAUCCGGUGUUGCUGUGAGCUGUGGUGUAGGUCACAAGACUUGGCUUGGAUUUGGCGUUGCUGUGGCUGUGGCACAGGACGGCAGCUGCAGCUCUGAUUCGACCCCUAGCCUGGAACCUCCACAUGCUGCAGGGGCAGCCCUAAAAAAAAAAAAAAAAAAACUAGGAACAAGACAAGGGUUUUGAAGGGCCCCAUCUCUCACUGAACCAGUCGUAUCUCUCUGCUUCCCCUGACCUGAGUGACGGCUUCAGGAAAGGACACAUGACCCGAGCCAAGCCCAUCGGCUGCCCUCAAUGGGAUGUGUCACCCUGAACAGAGGAAACUGGAAGAAUCUCUCAGAAAUAACAAGUCCAGGUCUCCUGCAGGGUAAAGAGGCGUUUGCAGGAGCAGCAAAUACGAGGCCCCUUUGUUCUCUCUGACUGCCUUAACCCGUUUUCUUGCUAGGAAAAUUGCGAUAAUUCUUACUUCGUGGGUUGUUAUGAAUAAUCAAUAAAAUAAUGAUUUCAAAAUUUUUAGCGCAAAGGUUCACUCGAUGCUACCUGUUCAAGGUGUCGUAAUUAGUGUUAUAAACAUGAUUAUUCUGCACUGGCAGCUUCUCGCCCGCCUCUCUCUCACCUGGUGCCCCCUCCCCAGCCCAGUGUGGUCCUGGAGGUACUGACUUUCCAGCCUGCUAACUGAAGAAAGGAGCGAGGAGUUCCCGUUGCAUCAUCUGUGAGGAUGUGGGUUUGAUCCUUGGCCUCACUCAGAGGAGGGUGAAGCAUCUGGCAUUGGUUGCAUAUGUGGCUCAGAUCUGCUGUUGCCGUGGCUGUGGUACAGAUCAAAGCGACAGCUCCAAUUCAAUGCUUAGCCCCGGAAUUUCCAUAUGCUGCUGGUGUGGCCCUAAAAAGACAAAAAUAAAAUAAACUGGGGUUGCUUUAAAAAAAAAAAAGUAGCAAAUAUGAUUCCUUUUACUACAUAUCAGGAGAUAUCAAAGGGGUACAAUU
ensembl:lncRNA